AAGAAAAAGUGCAGAACCAAAUAAAUAUUACAAUUCUAAAGUUGUAAUACACCCAGUGUUCAAUUAAUUGAAGUGUUUUUAUGCAAAGAAUAAAACUGUCAUUAUACUGAUGGUUGUUAGUUUUUCCAUUAUAAUAUACAAAGGCACAUCGGCUGGCAAACAAUUAGGCAGCACAUAAUUAGGAGUCUAUUUAAAGGGAAUGAAUGUGAUGGGGAGUUUGUAUAUUGUAUUGGAAAAAC